rnacentral:rRNA from 1 species
UAGGGAAUCUUCGGCAAUGGACGGAAGUCUGAUCGAGCAACGCCGCGUGAGUGAAGAAGGAUUUCGGAUUGUAAAGCUCUGUUGUUAGAGAAGAACGUUGGUAGGAGUGGAAAAUCUACCAAGUGACGGUAACUAACCAGAAAGGGACGGCUAACUACGUGCCCGCAGCGGCGGUAAUACGUAGGUCGCGAGCGUUGUCCGGAUUUAUUGGGCGUAAAGCGAGCGCAGGCGGUUCUUUAAGGCUGAAGUUAAAGGCAGUGGCUUAACCCUUAUACGCUUUGGAAACUGGAGGACUUGAGUGCAGAAGGGGAGAGUUGAAUUCAAUGAGUAGCGGUGAAAUGCGUAGAUAUAUGGAGGACCACCGGUGGCGAAAGCGGCUCUCUGGUCUGUACCUGACGCUGAGGCUCGAAAGCGUGGGGAGCAAACAGG